GGGUUGUGAGGUUAAGCGACUAAGCGUACACGGUGGAUGCCCUGGCAGUCAGAGGCGAUGAAGGACGUGCUAAUCUGCGAUAAGCGUCGGUAAGGUGAUAUGAACCGUUAUAACCGGCGAUUUCCGAAUGGGGAAACCCAGUGUGUUUCGACACACUAUCAUUAACUGAAUCCAUAGGUUAAUGAGGCGAACCGGGGGAACUGAAACAUCUAAGUACCCCGAGGAAAAGAAAUCAACCGAGAUUCCCCCAGUAGCGGCGAGCGAACGGGGAGCAGCCCAGAGCCUGAAUCAGUGUGUGUGUUAGUGGAAGCGUCUGGAAAGGCGCGCGAUACAGGGUGACAGCCCCGUACACAAAAAUGCACAUACUGUGAGCUCGAUGAGUAGGGCGGGACACGUGGUAUCCUGUCUGAAUAUGGGGGGACCAUCCUCCAAGGCUAAAUACUCCUGACUGACCGAUAGUGAACCAGUACCGUGAGGGAAAGGCGAAAAGAACCCCGGCGAGGGGAGUGAAAAAGAACCUGAAACCGUGUACGUACAAGCAGUGGGAGCACGCUUCGGCGUGUGACUGCGUACCUUUUGUAUAAUGGGUCAGCGACUUAUAUUCUGUAGCAAGGUUAACCGAAUAGGGGAGCCGAAGGGAAACCGAGUCUUAACUGGGCGUUAAGUUGCAGGGUAUAGACCCGAAACCCGGUGAUCUAGCCAUGGGCAGGUUGAAGGUUGGGUAACACUAACUGGAGGACCGAACCGACUAAUGUUGAAAAAUUAGCGGAUGACUUGUGGCUGGGGGUGAAAGGCCAAUCAAACCGGGAGAUAGCUGGUUCUCCCCGAAAGCUAUUUAGGUAGCGCCUCGUGAACUCAUCUUCGGGGGUAGAGCACUGUUUCGGCAAGGGGGUCAUCCCGACUUACCAACCCGAUGCAAACUGCGAAUACCGGAGAAUGUUAUCACGGGAGACACACGGCGGGUGCUAACGUCCGUCGUGAAGAGGGAAACAACCCAGACCGCCAGCUAAGGUCCCAAAGUCAUGGUUAAGUGGGAAACGAUGUGGGAAGGCCCAGACAGCCAGGAUGUUGGCUUAGAAGCAGCCAUCAUUUAAAGAAAGCGUAAUAGCUCACUGGUCGAGUCGGCCUGCGCGGAAGAUGUAACGGGGCUAAACCAUGCACCGAAGCUGCGGCAGCGACACUAUGUGUUGUUGGGUAGGGGAGCGUUCUGUAAGCCUGUGAAGGUGUACUGUGAGGUAUGCUGGAGGUAUCAGAAGUGCGAAUGCUGACAUAAGUAACGAUAAAGCGGGUGAAAAGCCCGCUCGCCGGAAGACCAAGGGUUCCUGUCCAACGUUAAUCGGGGCAGGGUGAGUCGACCCCUAAGGCGAGGCCGAAAGGCGUAGUCGAUGGGAAACAGGUUAAUAUUCCUGUACUUGGUGUUACUGCGAAGGGGGGACGGAGAAGGCUAUGUUGGCCGGGCGACGGUUGUCCCGGUUUAAGCGUGUAGGCUGGUUUUCCAGGCAAAUCCGGAAAAUCAAGGCUGAGGCGUGAUGACGAGGCACUACGGUGCUGAAGCAACAAAUGCCCUGCUUCCAGGAAAAGCCUCUAAGCAUCAGGUAACAUUAAAUCGUACCCCAAACCGACACAGGUGGUCAGGUAGAGAAUACCAAGGCGCUUGAGAGAACUCGGGUGAAGGAACUAGGCAAAAUGGUGCCGUAACUUCGGGAGAAGGCACGCUGAUAUGUAGGUGAAGUCCCUCGCGGAUGGAGCUGAAAUCAGUCGAAGAUACCAGCUGGCUGCAACUGUUUAUUAAAAACACAGCACUGUGCAAACACGAAAGUGGACGUAUACGGUGUGACGCCUGCCCGGUGCCGGAAGGUUAAUUGAUGGGGUUAGCGGUAACGCGAAGCUCUUGAUCGAAGCCCCGGUAAACGGCGGCCGUAACUAUAACGGUCCUAAGGUAGCGAAAUUCCUUGUCGGGUAAGUUCCGACCUGCACGAAUGGCGUAAUGAUGGCCAGGCUGUCUCCACCCGAGACUCAGUGAAAUUGAACUCGCUGUGAAGAUGCAGUGUACCCGCGGCAAGACGGAAAGACCCCGUGAACCUUUACUAUAGCUUGACACUGAACAUUGAGCCUUGAUGUGUAGGAUAGGUGGGAGGCUUUGAAGUGUGGACGCCAGUCUGCAUGGAGCCGACCUUGAAAUACCACCCUUUAAUGUUUGAUGUUCUAACGUUGACCCGUAAUCCGGGUUGCGGACAGUGUCUGGUGGGUAGUUUGACUGGGGCGGUCUCCUCCUAAAGAGUAACGGAGGAGCACGAAGGUUGGCUAAUCCUGGUCGGACAUCAGGAGGUUAGUGCAAUGGCAUAAGCCAGCUUGACUGCGAGCGUGACGGCGCGAGCAGGUGCGAAAGCAGGUCAUAGUGAUCCGGUGGUUCUGAAUGGAAGGGCCAUCGCUCAACGGAUAAAAGGUACUCCGGGGAUAACAGGCUGAUACCGCCCAAGAGUUCAUAUCGACGGCGGUGUUUGGCACCUCGAUGUCGGCUCAUCACAUCCUGGGGCUGAAGUAGGUCCCAAGGGUAUGGCUGUUCGCCAUUUAAAGUGGUACGCGAGCUGGGUUUAGAACGUCGUGAGACAGUUCGGUCCCUAUCUGCCGUGGGCGCUGGAGAACUGAGGGGGGCUGCUCCUAGUACGAGAGGACCGGAGUGGACGCAUCACUGGUGUUCGGGUUGUCAUGCCAAUGGCACUGCCCGGUAGCUAAAUGCGGAAGAGAUAAGUGCUGAAAGCAUCUAAGCACGAAACUUGCCCCGAGAUGAGUUCUCCCUGACCCUUUAAGGGUCCUGAAGGAACGUUGAAGACGACGACGUUGAUAGGCCGGGUGUGUAAGCGCAGCGAUGCGUUGAGCUAACCGGUACUAAUGAACCGUGAGGCUUAACCUUACAACGCCGAAGCUGUU
rnacentral:rRNA from 1 species